rnacentral:rRNA from 1 species
UUCUUGGAUUUAUUGAAGACUAACUACUGCGAAAGCAUUUGCCAAGGAUGUUUUCAUNANUCAAGAACGAAAGUUAGGGGAUCGAAGACGAUCAGAUACCGUCGUAGUCUUAACCAUAAACUAUGCCGACUAGGGAUCGGAUGAUGUUAAUUUUUUAAUGACUCA